rnacentral:rRNA from 1 species
CCGCUUAGCGAACCGAAAGGAAGCGGCGGCCGACGGUGAGCUCGGUGACNGGGACU